GCCCAUGGGCAUCGUGUUCAGUGCUGUUUUCGAAAAGAUUCUGUAUCAACCAGGCGGAUAAUCUUGUGUGGUUCGAACAGUCGGUCGGCGGUUGGUGCAUUGUUUUGACAUUUGUACGGACGCAAAAAUCGAAAUCGCUUCACGCUCGGAGAAUUGGGAAGGUCGUGUUUUUUGGGGUCACAAACCGUAGUGAAACAAGCGCACGGGUAUACGUUGUGUCUUCGUGUUAUGAACAUACGUGGAAGAUAAAUAAUCGUGAUUUCUUAUUACAAAAAAAAAGAUGAAACACAUGAACCAUCCAGCAUGCGAGGCGAUCGGUGAAGCAGGCUCGUGAGAAAAGGCCCUUAACUUUCAACUGAAGCAGAUGAAGAUCUAAAACCUAGUUUUACCAUCCAACAAGCACCAAAUGCCAACGCAACGCAACCGGCAAGCGCUCCCGUGGAAGCGACGAAUUCAGCUGGCGGUUACAAACUCACCCGCUAGAACGACGGUUCGUCCAACGUGAUCUCCUGAAACCCUAGCGGACGUAAUCGAGCCGCCGAAAACGAAAACACAAAAACCCCAAUCCACGUGUUGUUACGCUCGUGUCGGAUAUUGUACGCAUCGGCUCCAAUAUACACACCUGUCUCUGCGACGACGACGACGACGACGGGAGCCACGCACGACCGGGGGAAGCCACGCCGAAAGUCGUCAUCAUCGCCAUCGUCAUCAUCAGCAUCGGUCCAAACCGCGAACCGAACGGUGAAACGGUGCGCGAACACAGCGUAAUCUCCCGCAGCGAAAUAAACCUCGACGCACACCGCUCAUCUUCUCUGCGGAGCCAUUUGGGCCUCUCGCUCGUGCCAUCCGGAACCGCUUGUAGCCGGUUUGCUGAGGGGGGGAAGGGGGCUUCCGCCGUCUAGAGCCAACGUACCGAGAGCCAUCUUUGCUUGAUCUCCCGUGAGCGUGAGCGAUCGAUCGUGGCACAUAGCAGUGGCAGUGAGAGGCAGCAGUAUCCAACUCUUCUUCACCUCGUCGCGUGCGGGGUGCCGCGCCUACGUCAUCAUCAUCCGAGCCGGCCCCGGCGGGCAGCCUUC